rnacentral:rRNA from 1 species
UUGCCACUCCUACGGGAGGCAGCAGUGGGGAAUAUUGGGCAAUGGGCGCAAGCCUGACCCAGCAACGCCGCGUGAAGGAAGAAGGCUUUCGGGUUGUAAACUUCUUUUCUCAGGGACGAAGAAAGUGACGGUACCUGAGGAAUAAGCCACGGCUAACUACGUGCCAGCAGCCGCGGUAAUACGUAGGUGGCAAGCGUUAUCCGGAUUUACUGGGUGUAAAGGGCGUGUAGGCGGGAGUGCAAGUCAGAUGUGAAAACCACGGGCUCAACCUGUGACCUGCAUUUGAAACUGUACUUCUUGAGUACUGGAGAGGCAGUCGGAAUUCCUAGUGUAGCGGUGAAAUGCGUAGAUAUUAGGAGGAACACCAGUGGCGAAGGCGGUCUGCUGGACAGCAACUGACGCUGAGGCGCGAAAGCGUGGGGAGCAAACAGGAUUAGAUACCCUUGUA